AUGGACGCCGGUUCCUCGUCCUCGCCGCUGCACAUCAUGGUCGUCCCGUGGCUCGCGUUUGGCCACCUGCUCCCGUACCUGGAGCUCUCCGAGCGGCUCCCCGAGCGCGGCCACCGCGUGUCCUACGUCUCCACGUCGCGCAACCUCGCCCGCCUCCCCACGCUGCGCCCCACCGCGGUGCCGCGCGUGGACUUUGUCAUGCUCCCGCUUCCGAGCGUCGACGGCCUCACCGACGGUGCUGAGUCCACCAAUGAUGUGCCCGACGACAAGCGGGGGCUCCACUUCAAGGCCUUCGACGGCCUCGCCACGCCCUUUGCGGAGUUCAUGGCCGCCGCGUGCACCGACGAGGCCACCAGGCCUCACUGGGUCAUUGCUGAUUGCUUCCACCACUGGGCCGCUGCCGCCGCCGAGCACAAGGUUCGGUAG
rnacentral:rRNA from 1 species